rnacentral:rRNA from 1 species
GACGAACGCUGGCGGCGUGCUUAACACAUGCAAGUCGAACGGAAAGGCCCCUUUGGGGGUACUCGAGUGGCGAACGGGGGAGUAACACGUGAGUAACCUGCCCUUGACUUCGGGAUAACUUCAGGAAACUGGGGCUAAUACCGGAUAGGAAUCCUUGCUGCAUGGUGGGGGUUGGAAAGCUUCGGCGGUUUUGGAUGGACUCGCGGCCUAUCAGCUUGUUGGUGGGGGAGUGGCUUACCAAGGCUUUGACGGGUAGCCGGCCUGAGAGGGCGACCGGCCACAUUGGGACUGAGGUACGGCCCAGACUCCUACGGGGGGCAGCAGUGGGGAAUAUUGCACAAUGGGCGGAAGCCUGAUGCAGCAACGCCGCGUGCGGGAUGACGGCCUUCGGGUUGUAAACCGCUUUCAGCAGGGGCGAAGCUUGUGGUGACGGUACCUGCAGAAGAAGCACCGGCUAACUACGUG